UAGAUGCAGUCGUACGGGUGCAGCAAUGCACCAGUGGCGAACGGGUGAGUAAUGUAUCGCUAACGUGCCCCCGAGUCAGGGAUAGCUGCCCGAAAGGGCAGGUAAUACCUGAUGAGACCACGACCGGGCAUCCGGACGUGCUCAAAGCAGCAAUGCGCUCAGGGAGCGGGCGAUAUCGUAUCAGCUAGUUGGUGAGGUAACGGCUCACCAAGGCGACGACGCGUAGCCGGACUGAGAGGUUGGCCGGCCACAUUGGGACUGAGACACUGCCCAGACUCCUACGGGGGGCUGCAGUAACGAAUCUUCCGCAAUGCACGAAAGUGUGACGGAGCGACGCCGCGUGUGGGACGAAGUCCUUCGGGAUGUAAACCACUGUCAGGGGUUACCAAGUUCUGAGGAGCCCCAGAGGAAGGCACGGCUAACUCUGUGCCAGCAGCCGCGGUAAGACAGAGGUGCCAAGCGUUAGGCGGAAUCACUGGGCUUAAAGCGUGUGUAGGCGGAUCGUUAAGUACCUUGUGAAAUCCCACGGCUCAACCGUGGAACUGCUGGGUAUACUGGCGAUCUUGAGCCACCUAGGGGCGAGCGGAACAAACGGUGGAGCGGUGAAAUGCGUAGAUAUCGUUUGGAACGCCAACGGUGAAAACAGCUCGCUGGGGGUGUGCUGACGCUGAGACACGAAAGCCAGGGGAGCGAACGGGAUUAGAUACCCCGGUGGUCCUGGCCCUAAACGAUGUCGACUAGAUCGUAGUGCCUCUGACGGUAUUACGGUCGAAGCAAAGUGCUAAGUCGACCGCCUGGGAAGUACGGUCGCAAGGCUAAAACUCAAAGGAAUUGACGGGGGCUCACACAA
rnacentral:rRNA from 1 species